UACGUAGGCAGCGAGCGUUGUUCGGAAUUACUGGGCGUAAAGAGUGUGUAGGCGGUGUUCCCAGUCUGUUGUGAAAUCUCCCGGCUUAACUGGGAGGGUGCGGCGGAAACUGGUGUGCUUGAGGGUGGGAGAGGUAAGCGGAAUUCCUGGUGUAGCGGUGAAAUGCGUAGAUAUCAGGAGGAACACCUGUGGUGUAGACAGCUUACUGGACCACUUCUGACGCUGAGACACGAAAGCGUGGGUAGCAAACAGG
rnacentral:rRNA from 1 species